AUGAAUAUGAUGUACCAAAAAGUCGGCCGUUCCUAAUGGAAUAGGUAGCAAAGCUACUUUGCCACCCACUGCUACUAACUCACCGCCCCCCCAAGUCAAACUGGUGCUCGCUGUUUCACCAGGGGCUGUUACACCAGGUGCUAAAGCAUGGGUAUUUUGUAUCCAUUGAGCAAAGACUGGUUGUAAUUGUAUAGCAGUAUCUGAAAACAUAUCUUGUGGACGCCCUAAAGCACUCAUGGUAUCAUUAUGAAUAUACAAACCAAAACUGUGGAAGCCUAGAAAUAUACAUACCCAGUUGAGGUGUGAUAUGAUUGCAUCGCGAUGCCUCAGGACACGAUCUAAUAAAUCGUUGUAUCGAUUAGUUGGAUCAUAGUCUCUUACCAUAAAAAUGGCUGCAUGCGCAGCAGCACCAACUAUGAGAAAUCCACCAAUCCACAUGUGAUGUGUGAACAAUGAUAGUUGUGUAGCAUAGUCAGUAGCUAGAUAUGGAUAAGGGGGCAUGGAAUACAUAUGGUGAGCUACAACAAUAGUUAAAGAGCCUAACAUAGCCAGGUUAAGAGAUAAUUGAGCAUGCCAUGAUGUUGUUAGAAUUUCAUAUAAACCUUUAUGGCCUUGGCCUGUAAAUGGACCUUUAUGAGCCUCUAAAAUAUCUUUUAGACCAUGACCAAUACCCCAGUUGGUCCUAUACAUAUGACCUGCUAUUAGGAAAAGAAUUGCGAUAGCUAAAUGAUGAUGUGCUGUAUCGGUUAACCAUAGACCCCCGGUCACUGGAUCUAAUCCACCACGAAAAGUAAGAAAGUCUGAGUAUUUUGACCAAUUCAAGGUAAAAAAGGGGGUUGCUCCUUCAGCAAAACUUGGAUAAAGUUGAGCCAAAAGAUCCCGAUUCAAGAUAAAUUCAUGAGGAAGUGGUAUUUCUUUAGGAUCUACUCCAGCAUUUAGAAAUUGGUUAAUCGGUAAAGAUACAUGUACUUGAUGUCCUGCCCACGAAAGGGACCCAAGUCCUAGUAGCCCUGCUAAAUGGUGAUUCAACAUAGAUUCUACAUCUUGGAACCAAGCCAAUUUUGGAGCUGCUUUGUGAUAAUGGAACCAACCAGCAAAAAGCAUUAAGGCUGCGAAGACCAAUGCGCCAAUUGCGGUACAAUAAAGUUGUAAUUCACUAGUUAUUCCAGAUGCUCGCCAAAGCUGAAAAAAGCCAGAGGUUAUUUGUAUUCCUCGGAAGCCUCCGCCCACAUCUCCAUUCAGGAUUUCUUGGCCCACUAUUGGCCAAACCACCUGAGCACUAGGUCCAAUGUGAGUAGGAUCACUCAGCCAUGCUUCAUAAUUGGAAAAACGAGCACCGUGGAAAUACAUGCCACUCAGCCAAAGAAAGAUGAUAGAGAGUUGGCCAAAAUGGGCACUAAAUACUUUUCUAGAGAUUUCCUCCAAAUCACUGGUAUGACUAUCAAAAUCGUGAGCAUCAGCAUGUAGGUUCCAGAUCCAAGUGGUAGUAUCAGGUCCCUUAGCUAUUGUUCUUGAGAAAUGACCGGGUUUAGCCCAUUCCUCGAAAGAAGUUUUUAUGGGAUCCCUAUCUACCAAAAUUUUGACUUCUGGUUCCGGCGAACGAAUAAUCAUUGAGUCCUCCUCUUUCCGGACAACACAUACAAAGAAACCCGCCAACAGUCACUCAAAUAAUUAGUGAACCGAUGAUAGAUGCUUAGAAUUUUGUUCUUUCUCUUCUAUCUCCCAUCUAUUCAUCCAUUUUCUUUAGUUAUUCACUAGAGCAAUUAUGAUCUGGAAGUCGAUCUGGGGCAAGUGUUCGGAUCUAUUAUGACAUAUCCAUAGGGUGCUCAACGGACCCCCCCCCCCUUUUUUUUUUUAUUAAAAAGCGUUUUCGCACCUUUACAUUAGUAUUGGUACACAAAUAAUUUUUUUUUAUAACCUAAUCUAGUGUAUUCAUAUUUCAAUUAUAAGUUCCGAAAUAUAGCCUAUUUUUUAUGUUUUAAAUAGAGGAUAUUAUCCUAUUUCAAUAACCGCUUAUUAGUCAUUACUAAGAAACAUUCUAGUAUUGAUAUUUAGUCAUUUUCAAAUCCCUUUUAUUCGUUUUAAUAGUCGAAAAGAAAAAAAUAGAAAAAACUAGAUAUAGAUAUUAUAGAUAUUCUCAUAUUCAUGUACUACUUAUCCCUAGAGAAUACCAGAUUAAAUAGAACGAUUUGAGAAAAGGAUAUAAUGAAAUUUUUUUCUGGGAUUGGUUCUUCUGAUAGAAAAAAGAAUCUGGUUUAUUUGACCGAGAGGGCCAAGAAACUAAAAAACAAUUAAUUGUAAAAACAAAUAAAGAUAUAUUAUAGAAUAAAAAAAAAAGAAACAAAGAAAAAGUUCUUAUUCGAAGCGCCUCGUGAUCGUCAACCAAUUCUGUGCUUCAAUAUAAUUACCAGGAGUAAGCGUUAUAGCCUGUUUCCAAUACUCGGCGGCUUGAGCAAACCAAGCCUCCGCCAUUUCAGAAUCUCCUUGUUGAAUGGCCUGUUCUCCACGGUCGGAAUAGGCGGGUCAAUUCCCUCCCUGAGAACCGUACUUGAGAGUUUCCUACCUCAUACGGCUCGACAACCAACUCUUUUGUUUUGGUGUACCAGUUUUUUUCACUUUAACCUACUUUCACUUUAUAUCUAAUUGAAUGAGAUUUCUUAUAGAUAUUCAUUCGGUUUUUCUUGGAUUAAACAAAAGAGAGUAAUUACAUGAGUUUCAAACUUUCGUUUUGAUUUAAUUAAUAUAUUAAUUAAUCUAAUAAUAAGUUUUAUCUUUUCUCCUACCUUCAGAAAAAAAAAGGCAUGUCCACUGUUAUUAGAUAUUAGAAUUUUCUGAAAGGUAACUAUCCCGCUUUCAUAUAUAAAUUUAUAUAGAAUCGUUGAAAAAGACUUUUUUUCAUACUUCAUAAAAAAGAAAAAGACUUACUGUCUUUAGGAUCUGAUGCUACACCGCUGCUCAAUACCUUAGGGGAUCCACUCUAUUACAUAAGUAGAUUCCUAAGAUUUAUCUCAUAUUAUGAUAUAAAUAAACAGCUCUUGUUGUAUCGGUCCAAAACCUUUCCAGUUGAUCUUUACGGUGCUUCCUCUAUCAAUUAAAUCUUUUUUUAUCCAUAGAAAUAAAGUAUUUAGGCAUAUCUAGUCUUCACUUCAUAUUUCGAUCCAUGAAGUUUAUUUAUUUGCUACAGCUGAUAAAAAAUCGUUUUGGACGAUGCUUAUGUAGAAAGCCUUUUUUUUUUCUAGUAUUUCAUUGACUAGCUGUUCGUUCUUUUUUUCUAUAGUGGAGAUAGUCGCACGUAAUGACAGAUCACAGCCAUAUUAUUAAAAGCUUGUGGUAAAAAGGGGUUUCGUUCUAAUGCCCGAAAAUAAUAUUCUAAAGCUUUGGUAUGUUCCCCAUUACUUGUGUGGAUAAGGCCUAUAUUAUAGAGUAUAUAACUUCGAUCAUAGGGGUCAAUUUCUAGUCGCAUAGCUUCAUAAUAAUUCUGUAAUGCUUCCGCAUAAUUUCCUUCAGAUUGAGCCGACAUCCGUUACGGUCGUCAUUCGCUUUAACGAAUUCUCCGUUUCAGAACCGUAUGUGAGAUUUUCAUCUCAUACGGCUCCUCCUUUAGGUGCAUAAUGAAAAUAAUAAAUAUAUGGAUAUGGAAAAAUUUGAUGUCAUUAUGAACUAAGCGGGGCUAAUGUUUUUACAAGAAAUCCCUAGCCAACCUUCUUGUAAAAGAUCUUUUCUUACUACCAAGUGGAUUCAUAUUCAUACUAGAUAAAAAUAAAAAAGGAAACUCUAACAAUUUCUUUGUUCUCAACGCCCCUAAAUUUCCAGGAAUUAGUCACUUCAACAGUCUUCAAUGGUUAUACGGGUAUCCAAAGUACGGACGAGAUGGAUGUUUAUUGUUCCAACCAUUUUAAUUAGUCCCAAUCCCAAAGAAGAAGAAAGAAAAGGAAUCUUUUUGAAGAAAGUUUUCGUGUUGUUGAUUUCUCGGCGUAGUGCUUCUUCCCCUGUGCCUCCUAUUCGUAUAUUGUAUUAGUCUAGUAGGAUUGAUCUGUAAUACGGGAACCAUAGGUAAAAACCUUUUGCUCAAUACUAGAAUUCAUAAUUGAAGCAUCUAAGGCUGCACUAAUCGUGGAUACAUGACAGAAGGGAUUGCUUUUUUAUAUUAUAAACUUCACCUUCAAAAGCGUAGAUUUUUUUCAAUACUCAUUUUUUUCUAUUCCAAAUCGGUGAGAAAUAGAAAAAAAUGAUAAUGAUAAUCAAAUCGCACCAUCU
rnacentral:lncRNA from 1 species